AGCAGAGUGGCCUAAUGGAAAGAGCACUGGCUUGGUAGUCAGAGGACCUGGGUUCUAAUCAUGGCUCUACUA
rnacentral:tRNA from 1 species